GACGAACGCUGGCGGCGUGCUUAACACAUGCAAGUCGAACGGAAAGGCCCUGCUUUUGUGGGGUGCUCGAGUGGCGAACGGGUGAGUAACACGUGAGUAACCUGCCCUUGACUUUGGGAUAACUUCAGGAAACUGGGGCUAAUACCGGAUAGGAGCUCCUGCUGCAUGUUGGGGGUUGGAAAGUUUCGGCGGUUGGGGAUGGACUCGCGGCUUAUCAGCUUGUUGGUGGGGUAGUGGCUUACCAAGGUUUUGACGGGUAGCCGGCCUGAGAGGGUGACCGGCCACAUUGGGACUGAGAUACGGCCCAGACUCCUACGGGAGGCAGCAGUGGGGAAUAUUGCACAAUGGGCGGAAGCCUGAUGCAGCAACGCCGCGUGCGGGAUGACGGCCCUCGGGUUGUAAACCGCUUUCGCAUGUGACGAAGCGUGAGUGACGGUAAUGGGUAAAGAAGCACCGGCUAACUACGUG
rnacentral:rRNA from 1 species